rnacentral:lncRNA from 1 species
GGUGUGCAUACAACUUGCUUGCUCACGAAGACCUAAGGCAAUUUUGAGGAAGCCUAUCAUUGGAAUAUACAAGCCAAGUUAUAUAAUGAGAAUCUCCCACUAGCUAUAUGGUGGUGACAAAACGAGAGACUAUCAAUCAUGAAGAUCAUGGUGCUCAAAAUGCACAAGUGUGGAAAAAGUGGUAGCAUUGUCACUUCUCUCUUUUUCUCUCAUUUUCAUUUUUUUGGUGGGCUCUUUGGCCUCCUUUUUUAUGGGCUUCUUUGGCCUAUUUUUAUUUCCUCACAUGGGACAAUGCUCCAAUAAUGAUGAUCAUCACACUUUCCACUCAAAACUUAGAGCAACUAUGACUCUAUAUGGAAUGCCUUCGGUAGUGUACCGUGGCAAUGAUCUAGCAUGGCAUAGAUAUCAAUGGAAACAUCAUGCUAGCUAUCUUACGAUCGUGCAAAGGCAAUGUAGACAUGGUGGCACAUGUCAUGGUGGUAG